AUGGCGCCACCACCACAACCACCAUGUCGACGGUGCAAGUCAAGGUGCGCCAGCAGCCUUGCAACUGGCACGCUGUUCGGCAUCUACUUCGAGUCUAGUUUUCUUCAUGCGGCGAUCGUCCCAUGCAAUGUGAGGCCGGAAUUCAACAAGCUGACCGGAGACUCUGUGACCUUUGAGGCUCCUGGGGGCCCCUACACCAUGGAGGUCGAGAAAGGACGAAAUAUGACGCAGGUGGGAGGAGAUGGAUGGGUCCGUUUCAUCGCCCACAUGCGUAUCACCGGUGGUGAGUUGAUCAGCUUCUCCUUCAGAGCAGAAAGACCCAAGCUGGUCGUCAUUAUGUCAACAAAGCAGAAGAUGAUGAAGAUGAUGAGGAUGAUGAUGACCCACUUGAUGAAGCCUUCGUAG
rnacentral:rRNA from 1 species